UUCCGGUUGAUCCCGCCGGAGGUCACUGCUAUUGGGAUUCGACUAAGCCAUGCGAGUCGAGAGGGUUCGGCCCUCGGCAGACGGCUCAGUAACACGUGGAUAAUCUGCCCUUAGGUGGAGGAUAACCUCGGGAAACUGAGAAUAAUACUCCAUAGAUCUAGGAUGCUGGAAUGCACUUAGAUUGAAAGUUCCGGCGCCUAAGGAUGAGUCUGCGGACUAUCAGGUAGUAGUCAGGGUAAAGGCCUGACUAGCCUACGACGGAUACGGGUUGUGAGAGCAAUAACCCGGAGACGAUAUCUGAGACACGAUAUCGGGCCCUACGGGGCGCAGCAGGCGCGAAACCUUCACAAUGUGCGAAAGCACGAUGAGGGAAUCCCAAGUGCUUGCUCGUAAGAGUAAGCUGUUUUUAUGUCUAAAAAGCAUAGAGAGUAAGGGCUGGGUAAGACGGGUGCCAGCCGCCGCGGUAAUACCUGCAGCUCAAGUAGUGACCGCUAUUAUUGGGCCUAAAACGUUCGUAGCCGGUUUGGUAAAUGCCUGGGUAAAUCGUGUAGCUUAACUAUACGAAUUCCGGGUAGACUGCCAAACUUGAAACCGGGAGAAGCUAGAGGUACUCCUGGGGUAGAGGU
rnacentral:rRNA from 1 species